GCAGAAGAAGCACCGGCUAACUCCGUGCCAGCAGCCGCGGUAAUACGGAGGGUGCGAGCGUUUAAUCGGAAUUACUGGGCGUAAAGCGCAUGCAGGUGGUUUGUUAAGUCAGAUGUGAAAGCCCGGGGCUCAACCUCGGAAUUGCAUUUGAAACUGGCAAACUAGAGUACUGUAGAGGGGGUAGAAUUUCAGGUGUAGCGGUGAAAUGCGUAGAGAUCUGAAGGAAUACCGGUGGCGAAGGCGGCCCCCUGGACAGAUACUGACACUCAGAUGCGAAAGCGUGGGGAGCAAACAGGAUUAGAUACCCUGUAG
rnacentral:rRNA from 1 species